rnacentral:rRNA from 1 species
GAUGAACGCUGGCGGCGUGCCUAAUACAUGCAAGUCGAGCGAACAGAUAAGGAGCUUGCUCCUUUGGCGUUAGCGGCGGACGGGUGAGUAACACGUGGGUAACCUACCUAUAAGACUGGAAUAACUCCGGGAAACCGGGGCUAAUGCCGGAUAACAUUUAGAACCGCAUGGUUCUAAAGUGAAAGAUGGUUUUGCUAUCACUUAUAGAUGGACCCGCGCCGUAUUAGCUAGUUGGUAAGGUAACGGCUUACCAAGGCAACGAUACGUAGCCGACCUGAGAGGGUGAUCGGCCACACUGGAACUGAGACACGGUCCAGACUCCUACGGGAGGCAGCAGUAGGGAAUCUUCCGCAAUGGGCGAAAGCCUGACGGAGCAACGCCGCGUGAGUGAUGAAGGUCUUCGGAUCGUAAAACUCUGUUAUUAGGGAAAAACAAAUGUGUAAGUAACUGUGCACGUCUUGACGGUACCUAAUCAGAAAGCCACGGCUAACUACGUG